rnacentral:rRNA from 1 species
AGAGCGAACGCUGGCGGCAGGCCUAACACAUGCAAGUCGAGCGCCCGUAGCAAUACGGGAGCUGCAGACGGGAGAGUAACACGUGGGAACGCGCCCUUCGGUUCGGAAUAACUCAGGGAAACUUGAGCUAAUACCGGAUACGCCCUUACGGGGAAAGAUUUAUUGCCGAAGGAACGGCCCGCGUCCGAUUAGCUUGUUGGUGAGGUAACGGCUCACCAAGGCGACGAUCGGUAGCUGGUCUGAGAGGAUGACCAGCCUCACUGGGACUGAGACACGGCCCAGACUCCUACGGGAGGCAGCAGUGGGGAAUAUUGGACAAUGGGCGCAAGCCUGAUCCAGCCAUGCCGCGUGGAUGAUGAAGGCCUUAGGGUUGUAAAGUCCUUUUAACGGGGAAGAUAAUGACGGUACCCGUAGAAUAAGCCCGGCUAACUUCGCGCCAGCAGCCGC